UUUCAAGUUUUAUUACUCCUUUUCAUUCCUUUCACUUCUUUUAUUAUUAUUAUAUGAUUAAUUAAAAAGGGGUUCUAUUAAUUAUAUCACUAUUUAAGUUAAUUUAUUGGUAUUUGUGUUAAUAAUUUUGUUGAUUCCUUUUAUCCUUUGGUUAAUUAAGGAAGAUUUAUUUAUCUCAGAACAUCCUCUAAUUAAUUAGGGAAGUUUUUGUUUAAUCCUAAGGAAACAUUUCACACUGCGAAAAUAGUUUUUUAGGAUAGUGCCUAACAUGACUCAAAUAUAAUUAAUAAAUUACUUAAAAUAAUAUCGUUAUUAUAUUUAUUCAAUAUUCAGUAUUAUUAAUUUUUCAAAAGUAAUUAUAUUACUGUUAUUAUAUUGAUUAUUAGAAGUAAUAUUAUUAUAUACUGUUAUAAUUAUUAUAUCGGUUAUAAUAUUAUUAUUUUAGUAUUAUUAUUUAUUAUAUUUUGUUGUACUUCUAUUAUUAUUAUUAUUAUUAUUUUUUGUUAACAGUUAAAUAAUAUUGUUAUUAUUAUUUUAUCGUCUUCCCCAACAGUAAUUACCUGGGAGGUGCUAAAGCUAAGACAUCGGAGUAGCAGUAGCCGAUCGGAGAGUAGCAAUUACUGGAGCGGAGAGUAGCAAUUACUGGAGUCGAUAGGUUUUGGGGGGAAAUGAAAGAGAGAUGGGUCGUUUUGGGGGAAAUUAAUAGCCCAAUUAAAAAAAUGAGGGGAAAUAUUUUUUUCGAUGUAAAAAGGAGGCAACACUUAGUGUUAUUUUUUUUUUAUGAAUAGCGGAGUUUAAAACCCCUGCGAAUCUAUAAAUUUUAGCAACACAUGUUUAACUCCGCGUUAAAUAUAAUUUUAUAAAAAUUAAAAUAACCCCCGCAGUUAGACUCGUUUUUUGUAGUGAUUGUUGUUUGGCCAGACUAAAACAAAUAUAAUCCCAGAAAACAUUCAAAAGAAGAGGUCUAGUACUAAUUAUUCUAGAAAGCAUUUGUAGAUCGAAGGAACAUUAGGAUCAAUUGAGUUAGCAAAUCUAAUAUGUGACCAACAUGGUUGUGGUGCAGCGGAUGGGGCUGCUCAAUCCUUAACCAGAGGUCGAGGGUUCGAUUCUGAGCAUGGAGAAAAUUCUGUUGGGAGUGCUACCCCCAAAUGGGGCCCUACACAGUGUGAAUUUAAAUUAGUCGGGUUUCAAUAUAGGUACCAGACACCGAAUGAAAACAAAAAAAAAUCUAAUAUAUGACUAUGCUUCAAGCUUUUUUCAGUUUGUCUUUCAAUUUGGCUCCUCAUUCGAGAACUUCAAAGUAGCUCUAUAUUUCAUUCAUAUCCCAAUUCCAUUUUAUUUAAUAUCGAGUUGCAUUAAUUUAGACUUCAAAGUAACUCUGUAUUUCAUUGCAUUAAUUUAUCAUAUUAUUUCUUGCAUUAAAAGCAGACUAUAUCACUAGUUAUAG
rnacentral:lncRNA from 1 species